AGAGAUACGGCGACAACUAUACGACCCACCAUGUUCUAUUUCCAGAGAGACCACAAAAAUUGCUUGAGUGGAUGUGCACAAUAUCAGCUGAUCAACUCGGAUUCCUGGGCACUAUCAGCCAUGAAACAUUGGAAAACAAAACAAAAACAAAAGGCAGCCAUGAAACGAAAUAGUUGAUGGGAAGGAAGAUUCAUGGCGUGCCAAAUGCCAGACUAAUUAUUCUCUAUGAUCAAAGACAAGAAAUAAUGAACUGAGAUCAACUCGGAUCGGAGACGGUAUAUACUUCCGUUCAGCAAGUGAAAUCGAUCAUCAAAUACUAUCAGUGCUUGAAGUCUAUCUUCUCCUGCCAUGACUGAUCUAUUAAGUGACGAGCUGAAAAUGUAAAGAAAGGGUGUCCUUUCAAGAAAAAAUAAACACGUGCUAAUUAAAAACAGUCGGGCUCAGGAGGAAUGGAAUGGGAGACCUGACAUUGCUGAAAGCUACCGAGACAUGCCGCACCAGCCACAAUAUUGCCUCGUGAUCUGAGCAGACAAUGUAUAUACUCACUGUUUCUUGCCACUCGUAACAGUGAGAUAUAAGCCCACUCCUUGUAGUGUUGCACUUUCAUCAUGGUCUAACGUGACAGAAGAUUGAGCCAAUUUGCAGGUCUGUGAUCGCGCUCUCAUGGAAAGUUAUCAGCCGUUCAAUAAAUUUCAGUCAAAUUCGUAUUGGGCAGAAAGUUAUCAACAACAUUGAGGUGUAAAUACAUACCAUAUCAGUGCAUGAUGUUUACUUUUAAUUGUUAAUCAUUCAAGAUGAUCAUGCUAAAUCUUUUGUUCAUGAGAUUUGGGUUAAAUCUAUACCAAGCAUGUAUUAUGCCUCUGCAUAAAAUCUUUUCCGAGAUGAGUACUAUCUUAACUCGAUAAA